AUUACACAACAAAAUAUGAAGGCCUGGCUUUGCGGCCGGCUGAAAUAUUUUUUUCACCCAUGUCUUUUGCGCACUUGUUGUUUCCUGGGCGGGUUCGCCCGCCACCAGGACCAAACCAUAAACCUUUUUUUUAUGCAGUUGCAAUCAGCGUCAGUAUAAACAAUGUAAUUAUUACAACUUUCAACAACGGAUCUCUUGGUUCUGGCAUCGAUGAAGAACGCAGCGAAAUGCGAUACGUAGUGUGAAUUGCAGAAUUCAGUGAAUCAUCGAAUCUUUGAACGCACAUUGCGCCCUUUGGUAUUCCAAAGGGCAUGCCUGUUCGAGCGUCAUUUGUACCCUCAAGCUUUGCUUGGUGUUGGGCGUUUUUGUCUCCCUCUUUGCUGGGAGACUCGCCUUAAAACGAUUGGCAGCCGGCCUACUGGUUUCGGAGCGCAGCACAUAUUUUGCACUCUGUAUCAGGAGAAAAGGACGGUAAUCCAUCAAGACUCUUACGAUUUUUAACUUUUGACCUCGGAUCAGGUAGGGAUACCCGCUGAACUUAAGCAUAUCAAUAA
rnacentral:misc_RNA from 1 species